rnacentral:rRNA from 1 species
AAAGAAACCAACAGGGAUUGCCCUAGUAACGGCGAGUGAAGCGGCAACAGCUCAAAUUUGAAAUCUGGCGUAAGCCCGAGUUGUAAUUUGUAGAGGAUGCUUCGGGGUAGCGGCCGGUCUAAGUUCCUUGGAACAGGACGUCAUAGAGGGUGAGAAUCCCGUACGUGACUGGCUUGCACCCUCUACGUAGCUCCUUCGACGAGUCGAGUUGUUUGGGAAUGCAGCUCUAAAUGGGAGGUAAAUUUCUUCUAAAGCUAAAUACCGGCCAGAGACCGAUAGCGCACAAGUAGAGUGAUCGAAAGAUGAAAAGCACUUUGGAAAGAGAGUUAAAAAGCACGUGAAAUUGUUGAAAGGGAAGCGCCCGCAACCAGACUUUGCGGCGGUGUUCGGCCGGUCUUCUGACCGGUUUACUCGCCGCCGUGAGGCCAUCAUCGUCUGGGACCGCUGGAUAAGACCCGAGGAAUGUAGCUCCCUUCGGGGUGUGUUAUAGCCUCGGGUGAUGCAGCGCGUCCCGGGCGAGGUCCGCGCUUCGGCAAGGAUGAUGGCGUAAUGGUUGUCGGCGGCCCGUCUUGA